AGAAAAGUGUGUAGGUUGAUAAAAUCUUUAUAUGGCCUGAAACAAGCACCUAAGCAAUGGCAUGAUAAGUUUAAUACAACUCUGACAUCUGUUGGUUUCGUUGUUAAUGAGGCUGACAAAUGUGUAUACUAUCGCCAUGGUGGGGCCGAAGGAGUUAUACUGUGCUUGUAUGUUGAUGACAUACUGAUAUUCGGAACAAACCUCAAAGUCAUUGAGGAGGUCAAAUCGUUUCUAUCUCAGAACUUUGAGAUGAAAGACCUUGGUGUGGCUGAUGUUAUCUUGAACAUCAAGCUACUGAGAGAUAAUGAGGGUGGGAUCACACUUCUGCAAUCCCAUUACGUUGAGAAGGUGUUGAGUCGUUUUGGAUAUUCGAACUGCACACCAUCUCAAACACCAUAUGAUCCUAGCAUAUUGAUUCGAAAGUCCAAAGGCAUGGCUAAAGAUCAAUUGAGAUACUCUCAAAUCAUUGGUUCA
rnacentral:rRNA from 1 species